rnacentral:rRNA from 1 species
UACGAAGGGGGCUAGCGUUGCUCGGAAUCACUGGGCGUAAAGGGUGCGUAGGCGGGUUUUAAGUCAGGGGUGAAAUCCUGGAGCUCAACUCCAGAACUGCCUUUGAUACUGAAGAUCUUGAGUCCGGGAGAGGUGAGUGGAACUGCGAGUGUAGAGGUGAAAUUCGUAGAUAUUCGCAAGAACACCAGUGGCGAAGGCGGCUCACUGGCCCGGUACUGACGCUGAGACGCGAAAGCGUGGGGAGCAAACAGGG